AUUAUAAUCUGAGAAGGGCCUUCCUUCCAAAAAAAGAGGUGGUAGAUUUGUAUUUAACAGUUUUGUCAGGUCCUGUUUCUAUAACUUAUUGAUGGUUUCUUGUAGGGUCUAAUUUUGUGACUGCACUUAUUUGGAUUCUGCACAUGCUCGGCUCUUUUUCAGGUUUUUCCCUUGCAGGAAGUAAAGGGCAGAGUUCUCAGCAUCAUUUACAAACUGUGACUCUUGGAAAGCUCUGAGGGUACAAAGUGAGAUACUUAUGCACUGUGGGGAAUAAUUUGAGCAAGUGUAUCUUUCUCUUCAAAAUACCUACUGCUCCUCUAAUACGAGGUGAGUGAUUUUUAAAUGGGUUGCCCUUGAAUGGUUCACACAAUUUGGAUUGUCAUGGAUGGGCUCUGCCAUUGACAGUUUCACAGAUUUGUGUUUUCCUUGCUAAUCUCCAAAUCCCWCAAAGAGAACUUAAAAUCACUCUCCAUUUAGCUGUAUUUGAUGUUCCUGUUGACUCUUCAAACUCUGCCUGCUUUUAGGAAGCCAGGCUUUGUUUGAGCACCUGGACCAUCCAAUUUCCYGCAGCUCCUGAUUGCUUUUUACUCUGUUGCUUGACCUGGCUGCGUGUGUAGAGCUCCCUGAAGGAUGGYUGACAGGCUCAUCAUGGGAUUAUGGAUAAACAAUGUUAGAAUCUCUGCUGAAUGACUUCACUUUAUCUUCAUUAUGGCUGAAACAAAUUACAGAAACAGACAGAACUCCACCARUCAGUGGCUGUUUUCCCACCUCCUGAGCUCACCUUGAUCAAAUCCCAAAUCUGCCCAGCUGGCUGUGUAGCUGGAAGUGCCUUGCAGCAUGCCCUCCAGGUCUGGUAAUGAAGUCUAAUUCCCACAGAGGAACAGAUGACAGUGUCCUUCAGAGCAGAAAUAUUCCUAAGAAGAUGUGAUUUAUCCCRCACUGGGGCUUUUGGGAGCUAGGCAAAAAGGAGCUGAAAGAUGCUCCUAAAUAACACAAGCGUGUUCCAAUGGUUUUAAWUCACUUUUGCUAAACUCCAGUGAUCCUGAAUAUCACCAGCCUGGGAUGAGAUUGCAUUUGGUCCAUUACAGCAAGUGCAUUGCAGACCCCUUUCCUCUUUUUUUCUUUCCUGCCCUUCGUACUGGAUCUCACUUUUUUUUCUACCUUUUCCUUCUCACCUCAUCUUUCACAGCAUCUUCCUUUGUUUCUCCAGAUUAACAAUUCUUGUUGUAUCUUUAACCACCAUAAUUCUCCAUCAAUUAUUAGGAAAUCUGUCAGUAUUAUUAUGAACACUUUUCUUCUUUCUUUAUUUUAUCCAGAAAGCAACUCAGUUUCUGGAUUUUUAGAAUAUAUCUGCACAUCAAUAUAYUUGUCUUUAAACUAAAUA